rnacentral:rRNA from 1 species
AAGGCUUCAGUACGACCCUGUCAGAACUAUAAGUCUCAAAGCCCCGACGAGUAGGGUGGCGUGCCGGUGUGCGUUGAAGGCCAAGACGUAAGUCGGGCUGGAGCCGCCGGUAGUGCAGAUCUUGGUGGUAGUAGCAAGUACUCUGGUGAACCAACCUGGAGCUGUGAGGUCUGGAUCAGGGUUCCAUGUCAACAGUGAUUGAACAUGGGUGAGUCGAUCCUAAGCCAACUGUGAAAGCAGUGACAUUGCGACAAAGGGGCAUUUUCGUGGCAAAAACUUACACCCCCGGCGAAUCUCUCGAUGUGUGCACAACAAAAAAGGCUGGUCUCUCUCUCUGUCUGGUAAACGUGCGCGCACACACACACAAUGAUCACAAAAGUGUGAGAGUGUGUGUGUGCGCGGCGGCUGUCUGUGGUUACGCUCAAAAGCGUUGAUGUGGGUGCACGAGAGAGGAGGGUGCGCGUGAGUUUUGCAUAACACGAGAAACGUGAAGCCCUCUGCGUCUGGCUCUAUAUGUCUGGCGAAAGGGAAUGGGGACUUUGUUCCUUGACCGGUCCCGGCACCCUCGAUAGGCUUUGCCAAUCAAUGGUCCAUGCAAAUGGAACCAGGCCACAGCCGCCGGCAGUCGCCCGAGGAAGAGUUUUCUUUUCUGCUUAACGCACGAGAUCAUCCCUGGAAACAGUUCGGCUGGCGAAAGGGUGCCCCGUUGCGGCAGAGCGCCACGACUGUCGUGCGCGUCUCGGUGUUCCUGCCGGUCCGUGAAGACGUGGUCGAGGGGAUUGCUUGUAUCAACGAAACGCCCGACAAGUUCGGGACGGACCGUACCCUAUAUCCGCAUCUGGUCUCCAAGGUUCGUAGCCUCUGCAGAGUCAGACACAUGUAGGUAAGGGAAGUCGGCAAACUCGAUCCGUAACUUCGGGAAAAGGAUUGGCUCUGAGGGCCGAGCUGGGCCGGGCCUUGCCUGCAAAGCAGUACCUAUAGUGACCGGAGUUUCAGGAGUGCGAGGGGCUCUAGUAGCUGCUUGGUGGUGUGUGCGUGCGUGUGGUG